GGAUGUGAGGGUGGUCUGGAUGCAACAUCUGUCACCCCUGUGAUCACCAAGGUUGAGUCAGUUGUUCAGGCUCCCCAGGGCAGUGUCCCCUUCUCUCGAUACUCCAUGUGCAUCCAGCACAAAGCGGCACAUCAAGCAAAAAGACACUGACCUCUGACAGAGGAGGACUAUUCCUGGGUCAAAGGUAUAAGAAUAGCUAAAAUAAGAUCCCAGUUGUUCAUUGCUUAAAGUAUUUCUCAAUCAGUUUGGUUUUUG
rnacentral:snRNA from 1 species